ensembl:lncRNA
GGAGAAGUGGAGAAACCAAACCACAGCAAGGUGCUGCCAGAGGCAUGGAAUAACAGAGCUGCAAAUAGAUCAUCUUUAUGUAUUAAUCUCAGAUUUUGUGAGUGAGAAUGUUAGAUACCAGAUGAUAUCCAGAUGUAAGCAGAUGAUAUUGUUCUGGCAUGAACUGUACGCCUUGAUUGAACAGUGGAAAGACGUGUUUUUGUAACAGCAAAUAAAUUGCAUACAGCAGGCUGUAUGCAAUUCUGUUCUACCUUGUAAUGUUAUUUUCACUUAAAUUGAGCAUCAUUAUGAAAACAUGCAUCCUUAUAAACAUAAUGCUUAUCUUUGUGCUCUCGGUUCCCAAAUUCUUGUUCAAUUUGGGACAAACUAAAGAUCCAAAGUCAUCUUGUUUCCCUGACCUGUUAGCUGCUGCUGUGCAAAGCUCACCUUUACUGAAGGUCUUCAUUUUCUUUAGACAAAGCAGUUUGCAUUUGGUAUGUGUAACAUGAUAGAGUAUCAUAGGAACCAGAUAACAUGUUCCAGAGUAUGAGUGCAGCUUUUGUUUUGAAAGGUUCAAAAGGGCUUUGCAUAAAGGUGAUCUGCAAAGGGAAAAACUUCUUUUAUGGAAGAAGGAUAAGUUGAACUGUUGUAAGGUCAAAUAAUAUAGCUAAGCAUUUAGAUAGAUAUAUAAAGAAACAUUGUAAGAGCACUUUGCAACCAAGGAUAACCUCUGGCUUAUGCAGCUUGCACCAUGACCAUGCAGAACUUGUUUAAUGGUUGGAGUACAAGAGAAGCUCGUUGUGUAGACAGAGCUGUAUGGAAAUGUUCUAAGCAAACAUGGGGAGAGGGAGCUUUUGCCUUGCACAGGAGCACACUCAAAGCAGUAGCUUAGAGUAAAAUUUACAGUGUUGUGAAUAGCUCAGUAGCAUUAUGCAAUAGUACUGGGAAAAGCAUAAGCAAAUCCUGAGUUUCCCGGUGCUGAAGUAGCAGAAUGCACUUCAUUGGGCAUAAACAUACGAGGAGGAUUAAUUCAAAACAAGAUUGUCUAAGUGGUGCUUAUCACUGUAUAUCCAAAAUACUGUUAUAGGAAGUUACCAAACUGAAGGCAGUCUCGCCUCAGUAAUCAGUGCUCCACUGGACUGAAAUCCAUAAUCUGUAAUCAUAUCGGUGCUGCAGUUCUUCUCAUGCCUUAUCAUUGAUACCUGUGCUGCUGUGGAGUACAUUUUAGGCAGUUUAAGUGGCUUCUGACAGUUAAUGAUUGGCUUAUGCUCUGAAAGCAAUAUAGCUUGAUUAUUUACAUCUCAUACAAAAUAAUGAGGGCUGUAAUAAAAUGUUUCUGCUAGUCUCUUAAUUAUCUUGAUGUAAUCCAUUCCAGCUCCAGCCAUGCUCAUUUAUGAGGAUCCAUCGCGCAGAAGUCUGUCUAUGGAACUUUCCUAUAAAGCCUGUGGCAUUCCAGUUUGACUGUGGAAGCAAGUUUUCUUUUACAGAAACUGAUACUGGUGUGACGAAGGAGGACAGGUAGCUCUAGAGACUUCAGAGGUUGCAGAAUACAGCAGCUUUUCCCAGAAGUGUAUCAGAGUCUUGCUUCCAGUAAUGUCUGAACACUGUGGUUACGGAGAAAGGAUGAUCCGUUCCUGGGUCCUCUUGCCUGCAGUGCUGUGUGCCACCAAAGCAGUAGAUGAACUCUCGCUAUCGACUGGAAGCAAGGUUGUGUGUGAAGAUCACUGUGUGCUGCUUACUUUGUUAUAAGUCCCAACGUUUGGAAGUGAGGGAAGUGGACAGAGAAGUGGGGAACGCAGUGCUUUCUGUCUCUGUUCAGAAAGAAUGGUUUUCAUAAGGGGUUUGAAGCUGUACAUGUACGGUGAUAAAGAGCAGAACCAACAUGGCAUGAACACACAAGCUUAGAGCCAAUGUGAAAUAUGCCCCAGGCUUGGUCUUAAAUCAUAGUUUACGUCUUGUCACAGACAUCUGUAUAUUAUUACUUAUUUUCAAGUAGAUUACUUUUCUUUUUAGAAGUCCAAGUAAUGCCUAAACAAAAGGUUAUUGCAAGCAGCUUUGGGUUUAAUUCGUGAGGUGCUGCAAUAAGGAAACUAUUUGAGGAUAGAGGUAUUAGCUAUUUGGUUAUUUGAGAAUAACUGCUAGCCAUUACACAGAGACAUAUCAUGCUUGCUACUAUGGUAUCUUACAAAUAUUUACUAAACAACAUCUUGCUUAAAUCCUAUUCCUUGUUAUUCUUCCAGUUCCAUUUGGCUGUAUGAGAACUGCCAAACAGAGCGACCUGAUGAUGGCUGUAAGCUGGGGAAGCUGUUCCUCAGGAGUGGUGGUGCCUUAUUGCCCCGUUCUUAGUCUCAGCAAGGAGUUAGGUAUCUCUUCUUACCGGGCUGCUCAUUAGCAGGUCUGUGUGCCUUACAGAAGGAAUUGGUAUCACACUGUCAUUUUGCUGCAGAGGGAGAAACUGAGGCAUAAUGGAGCAGAAAAAAACAUUGUGGUUGGUGCGUAGCAGUAAUAGUAGUGCCAGGCUGGAGAUUAAGCCAGCUCUGCUGAGAUUUUAUCCAAUACUUUCCAGUGGGUCAUAAAUGCAUAAAGUAAUCAGGCAAGGACUUUGUCAGAGCACAUCUGCUCCAGUGUUUCUGGUAAAAGUACAUCCGUUAUCCCAAUUAAAUCAUAUGGUCCGGCACUGAUGAUGUGUGAAGGUAAAGCCAUCAGUGGCCUGGCUGUGUCUUUCAGACAGACCAAGAAGAAUGUUGGGCAAGCUAAAUCCAUUUAAUUUCUGGUGCUGCCAAUGCUGGAUAUGGGUGUACGUGGAAGUGGAGCCUCAGGGAUUUCACUGGGGGCUCCAUGUGGACAAAAUGAUCUCUUUCACUCAAGGAAGCUUAUAAUAUCAAAACCACUGUAAGAAAAUGGUCUCUGUACAAAGCUUACCGAGAUGAAGGUUUUCCAAUGGCAUGUCAGUUAAAAUUCCCAAGAAGUGGUUUACCUGAGAUUAAUAAUGCAUUUGGAGGAGGUCUGUGAGAUAGCCUGCUGCUCCUGUCAAGUCUCCUGCCAGUCUCAGAAGGGAGGAGGUAAGUUGUAUUUUCCUCUUGCUGUUCUGCUUGCAUAAAAGUGACCUGGGAAAAUAAGAGUAAAAUAGUUCCUUCAAGCAGAUGAGGCAAGGAGAAAUUGGUUGACUGGGUCUAACUGCAAAAAGGAAAUGCAAACCCCUCAAUUCACCCUCAUGCUAAGGUGUUGUGGUUUUUUUUUGAAGAAUAAAAGGAGGUAGCAGAAUUCAUGCAAGGCUUUAUACGUUUGUUUUCUAUAACAGUGCUUUGUUUCCUUUUGGUCCUUCAAGUCCUUUUUCAGUACUGGAAAUAAGCAACCACAUAGAGCAGGAUUUUUCCCUGCUGCUGUGCAUGUGUAUGAACAGCUUCCAAAGGAGGCUUUUGUGGGGCAUCAGAUGGGUUUACCUUGGGCUCAAUGAGUCCUUCAGUUAGGUUUUAAUAUAUUAUUUUCCCUGUCAUUUCUGCUUAGAUAGUGACAUUGAAUGCUCUGAUGAUAUCAACCAACUAUGUGUUCCUUCACUGUCAAGUAUUUGGGAUGGAAAUUUAGCAGGCAGUUAGAUUAAAAUAAAAAUAUCCUGCUGGCAAGGAAAUAAAUUGAAUUAAGUCGGUGCUGCUCUGAAUGUUGGUAACUGUGGAUGAGUUUUCAUGGUUCAUUCUGAAGAGCUACCGAGGCACCCAACAGCUCAUAUAUUAAGGCUAAAUUACUGUUGUUAAAUUUAUUUCCCAAUUCUCUUUGGUAUUUAAAAAAUGCAUUAUCCCCACAUUGCAAAACUUGAAGAAGCUCUUUAUCCAUACCUCGGAACACAAGAAAUGGAAAAGCAGCAUCUAAAGCAAGAGAAGAUUGUCACAUGAACAACUGCACGUAAACCGGCGGUGAAUAAAAGAUGUUCCGUGCCAUCAGGGAGAGGGAAAUCUCCUCUUAGAGCUUCACAAGGGAAGUGUAGGGACCAAAGCCCUCGGGCUUUCUGUGGGGCUGAAUCAGAUCAUGAAAGAAGCUAUAAGUAGGUGAGCAGUCCCAAGGGGUGGCACUAAGCCACGUAGGAAGUCUCUUCUGUGCGGUAGUCUUUGAGGAACAGUCUCAGAGAUUGUUAAAUAUUGAAGGAAAUAUGAACUUCAAAAAGUGGGUUUUAAUUUAAAUAUCAUAAUAGUUGUCGUGUGUAAGAAGUAGAAAGCAUUGAGUUCAACUGUGCCGAAGGGAGGGCGAUGCCUGGCUACAACUCAUACUGAGCUCUGCCCCUUUCUGGGAGCUCGUAGGGCAGCCCAGAUCUUUCUUAGGGUAUGCCUUCUAUUGGAACACGAGUUCUUAGGGUGUGACUUUUCAAGCUGAGAUGUCUGCACAUGAAAGAAUUUGAGCUUUCAAAGAACUCCGGGCCUUUGCUUACCUCCUCUUGAAUUGUAGGGAUCUGAACUACUCGGAAAAGACGAAUUUACGCCGCUUUUCCAAAGGUGGGAUCUGGUUCCUUUGUUUGUACUGAAAGAUUGAUCAGAGCAGGUAAACAGACAUUUGGUGCGUAGCUGAUUAUGAGCUAUGGAAAAAUGGACAUCUUUUUUAGUUGUUCCUAAAAGAUCAGGCUUAGGAUUCAAAGCCGUAACGCAUUUAUUGUGGUAACGCAAACUGAAGUCAUGUGAAUCGAGAACCAUAAGGGUUCCAUUAGCACACAUGGAAAGUCGAGUUGGGUCUGUAAUAGCACUGACAGUAAGUCCCAUUCAGGAGCAUUACUUCUUAAAAAUUAAACAAACCUCUCAAGUGGCUUAACGUGUAGCUGACAGUGCCAGCACGCUUCAAUUUCCAUUCAACCUGAAGUUGCCACACUCUCCAUUCUAAAUGGAAAUAGUGUUCUGCUGAUGUCACUGGCAAGCCUCCUUUUCUCCCAGCAAAAAUGUUUGUGUUACAGUGACUUCUUGAUCCCUGAGAAUACGUUUGUCUUGGUGAUCUGCUUCAGAUGCAAAUUGCUAUACCAGUCAGCUUGUGGGAAGAUAAAACCUUUCUUUAUUUUUAGUUCUGUCCAUUUAAAUCCAACGUGCAGUGCUAGAUGUUGGAAUCAGCGUGGAUUCUUUCUGCUCGGAAGCCUCUGGGAAGAGAUGUCUCACCCCAGUGCUCAAAGGCUGCUUCUAAUUCUGUUGUUUUUUUAAUGUUUUCUUUAAGUGAUACCUAUGGAACGUGUUAGCCACCAAUUUGGGAAAUCUCCCUUGUAUCUCAGUCUUCUGUUUCUCUUGUUUCCUCCCCUGGCCUCAAAGCAGCAGCACAGCUGUGCCAGGAUACCCAGGACUGCUUUUCUGCGCCUCGUCCUUUCAGCCCCAUUGGAUGCUCAGCAGGAGCCGCUCAGUUCACACACGCAGUGCGUUCUGCCUUCCAAGAGCUUUCCAUCAGGCGAGAGGCUCUCUUCUUUUUGCCUGUUUCAAAUGUACCGUUCUACGUGUCCUACAAGAAGUCUUCACGCACCUCUCCAGGUAUUCAGGGAGAAGAAGUCCAUUUUUCUGUUGCCAUCAGACUCAGUGCUUCGUGCAGUGGUCCAUGAUGGGACCACUCAGGAAAAUACUCUUAGCUGUGGUUUCCAGCACAAGAAAUGUUGCAAAUCUGAGCUUAAAAAAAUCAAGUUUGGCUGCUGCACAACACUUUCUCAGUUGAUUCCUUAUUAUUUAACACUUCUCUGAAGUUCAAGUCUUUUUUUUUUUUUUUUUUUGUCUCCCCCCUUCAAUACAGCCUUCAUCCAAAAGACACUGCCAAAUGCUUUACAAGUAGUACAGAGAAAGAGAAAUUGUUUCUGGCACCUAUUGCAGUAGUCAGCAUUGAGCAUCCCGCUUACCCAGCUCACAAAGCACAGAGCCUUAUUUUGUUAGGAUGUACAAAUGCUUCUGCUAUCAAACAAGCAAAAGGACAGCCAGCCCACCUAACCUGCUACCAGCUAGCCACCAAGUUUAGGAGAAUGAGCAAUGCCUCCACUGGGGACUUCCCUGGCAGAUCCACGUCUGAACAGCCAGGGCUGGCUUCCAAGAACAUUAAAUUCCAGCUGCUUUUCCAUCCAAGGCAAGAUAGGUUAUGCAUAUUUGGUGCCUGGCUUAACGCUGCAAGGGACAUAAUUUUCAGUGGUAUAAUGGACCGCUUGAGCCUCUCUUGUCAACUGGGAGUUUGAGUAUGCAGCGCGUUUGGAAAUGCAGCCCAUCCUUACCCAGCAACUAGCAAGGGAGAAAUCCAGACCUGCCAGUCGCUAUUUCAGCCUGUGACUUCUGCUCGCCUUUGUCCCAUCCGAGCGCGGUAAGGCAGAGCUUGUGUGCUCUUCUGGAGUUGGCUCCGCGUCUGCAGCUGCACGUUGAAAGGUACCGCAGUGUUUUCAGAAACCCAAAAGGUAGCCAGUCUCCAGCUGGUAAAAUUGUCAUCGUUCAUCAACUGAUUGAACUGUGGAAAUUUACCCAAGUAGAGGAUCAGGUCCAGUGUACACAGCUGGGAACCGAGCUGAGCUCAGUAGCUAUCUGUGCUCAGUGCUAAGCACCGGCCAACUGGGUUGCGCACGACUUUCUGCUAGGUAGCAGUGUGUCGAUCAAUGUCCUCUUGUUCGCUUGGAUCCAUGUUGUCUCCCAUUGCUCUGUCCCUUCUCUGUUCUCCUUUUCCUUCUAACUAAGCAACGUCUUACGGGCAGCGAGAGGGCGAGCCACAAUAGAUGAAAACAGAUCUGUUUUUGUGAUGUUUCUGGGGAAAACGUUCCUGCCCUUACACUUGAACUUCUCUAAGAGUGGUUAUAUUUCAUUACGCAUCUUAUCCUUGUUUGUGAAACAAGCAUGAGCUGUGCUUGCUAUGAGUUCAGUAGAGAAAAGAAAUGGAUAUUUGGGGAAGAUUGUUCCUCACUUGACAGCAUUAUUGUAAGCAAGGAAAUUUAAAGGAGGUUUUGCUUAGGCCCUCUAUUUUUCUCUGACUUUGUGUUCGUAUUUUUUUCCUGAAGUUUGUCUCAAGGUCUGCAUGAAGACCCAAACCUCUAAAAUGCUUUAAAGUCGAUCUCUCUCUGCCCGCGUGUAUUCAGCUAGCGUGGUAAAAUGUUUUGUUUCUCUUUUUUCUUUCCAGAGUCUAUGAGAUCAUUCAAGUACGGAGACUUGGCAGCCUCCAUGUACGUACAAAGACGGCUGUUUGAAUUUCAGACUAAGUGUCGUUCUGGCUAAGGAUGAAUUAUUUGGUGUGUUACAUGAGGAUUUGCUGCUUUAUCUGGCCUGAAUAAGCAGGAGCAAUGGUUGUGGUCAUCAUCAGUUCAGAAGGCAGGUUCAUUUUAUAGACAUGAGUCUUGAAGUCUGUUACAAAGAGAUCCACUGCCUGAAGUGUGCUGAGGUGCCAGGGUCAUGUGUGCCAUCUGCAUCAUCUGUGCAAAGGAGCUCCACCAGUGCAGACCUCCCUCACGAAAGCCACGGUGAUGUCACGUCCAGCAGCACAGGAGGGGAUCAGAGCGUGCUCCUACCCAUUCAGCACAGCCCCGAGAUUACUUUUAACCAAGGUCACUUCUGCAGUUCACUUGACAACAGCCUGGGCAGCGGCACACUACUGGCACAGCCUGCGGACUGCUAUAGGGAUGGGAGGACAAACAGUGACAAUUGUCUCCCGGAUUUACUGCGUCGAAGCUGUGCCGCGGCCACCUUCUGAUCAGAAGUGGGUAGAUAAAUCUGCUCCGUGUUCUGCAGUGACUGCCUGCUGCCCUGAAGGAAGCGUGUCAUGUCUGCAAGGAAGCGUUUCAACCUGCAGCCGUGGAGUACGAACAGCAUCAAUCACUCCUUUCCAACAAAGGUUGGGUUGUGCUGAGCCCUAAUCUUUUAAAUAAGACCUACUGUAACAUGCACAGAAUGUUUCCCAUGUUGGAUUCUACCUUACAAGCACUGAUUACGCCCACUGAUGCUUCAUGAGACAACCAAGCCAGAUUUGUGCCUCGAUUUGAAAAUACUCUGACACAAUAAAAGAAGACUUCUUAAUCUUUCAUUCCUUUGCUGCAAAGCUGGAAAGCAC